rnacentral:rRNA from 1 species
AGAUGCGAUCAUACCAGCACUAAAGCACCGGAUCCCAUCAGAACUCCAAAGUUAAGCGUGCUUGGGCGAGAGUAGUACUAGGAUGGGUGACCUCCUGGGAAGUCCUCGUGUUGCAUUCC